CAUAAGUUGGUUCGCCUGGGUAGGUUUGAAGACCGUAGGCCGACAUUCUUGCAAAAAAUACAACCGCAACAAGUGCAGUUCACUGUUUGCUUUGAAUUGGCCCCCAUGUUUGCUGUGCGUGUGUGUGUGUGUGUGUGUGUGUGUGUGUGUGUGUGUGUGUGUGUGUGUGUGUGUUUUAACAAAUGCUUGUGUGUGUGUUUCUGUGCUGGUCAGCACUUCCCACUGUGCCUGAAGAUACCAUCUCCACCUCCUCAGCUCAUACAGUGUCUGGUGCUUCAUCUGUGACUGCUCCCUCAUUGGACAGCGAGGACACUUACCUGUGCGAGUGUGGUCGCAAGACAGCUUGCAAGAAAUGUCAACAUCUCCUACAAGAAAAUCAGAAACUACGCCGGGAGCUCAGCACGCUAAAAAGUCACAAAUAAAGAGACUGAGAAUCUCCACAUUUGACCUCCCCGUCUCACUUGUCCAAAUUUAUGACGACUAUGAUGACUGAUUUUACAUGAAUAAAGAAAUGUAAUGUUUUUUUCCA
rnacentral:lncRNA from 1 species